AGGUAGUAAUAUAAUAAAUAAAACCUAUUUAUUUCGGCGGCUUUUCAUCUUAUUAGAGGAACUUGUUAAUUAAUCGAUAAUCCACGAUAAUUUUCACUUAAUUCAUAAAAUUUAUAUACCGCCAUCUAAAGAAUAAAUUUAUAAAUAUUCUCUUAACAAAAAAUAAAAAGUUAGGUCAAGGUGUAAUCUAUAUUUAAGAAUAAAAUGAGUUACAUUAAAAACAAUUUAAGGAAAUUGAAUUUUAAAAUUUAAAAAAAAAAGGAUUUAUAAGUAAUACAAACUUCAUAAUAAUAAUAAUUUUAUAUGAAUCAGAUAAUAAAAGUGU
rnacentral:rRNA from 1 species